GGCAUGUACUUCAUCUUCCCCGCCUCCACUGCGACAUCGCCUUCACCGCCACAGCCACACGUCGCCACCGCGCCCAUCGACACCGUGCGUAGCCACCGCUCACCGCGACACCGCCCAGCGUCACAGCCAUCGGUUCGACGCCUCGAGCUUCACCCGCAUAGCUAUAGCCACCCACCGCACGGCCACAGACACCACGCAUCUCCGCCGCUUCCCGCGGCACCGCGACAUCGCCGCCUGCCUUCCCGAAUCUCCCAGGUGGAUAGGAAAUUGGUGAAGCAAACAGUGAUGAAAUUGGUGAAGCAAACAGUGGUGGAGUGUGGGGCAAUUGAUGAUGACUCUGAGCUUUUUGGUGCAGCCUGUUAUGGUGCAAAAGUCACAUUGACUGCACUAGGGGAGAUGUUUCAAGCUGCACGCAGUAUCAUGAGCUGGCUUGGAGAAUGUGCAAAGGUCAUUGCUUCUGAAAACCAUCCUGUUCGAUGGACAACUCCUCUUGGACUUCCAGUUGUGCAGCCGUACCGCAAGAUUGGAAGGCACCUUAUUUUCUUUGCUGUGUUAAAAAAAGCCUAAGCCUCUCGUUGCCAACAAGUUGCGGCGGUUUGUAAAAUCAAAGCAUCCUUAUGUCGAGCACAACCUUAGUGCUGUAAUCAGUAUCAUUAGGCACUCUAUCCAAAAUUCUGCUGCAUAUGAAGCUGCUGCCAAACAGUUAAGAGAAAGGCUUAUGGAAUCAGUAACCAUAAAGGAGGACUAUCUGUAGGCAAAGCAAUUUCAUCUGGUUGCAGUGCAGCUGAUCUUGUAAUCUUCAUCAAUUAAGCCUUCAAAUCACCAAUGAAUGCAGUAGAUAAGGUGCCUUUCAUGUUCUUAUUAUAGUAUAUUUGUAUUUUUUUCUUGAAAUAUUCAGAUGCUAUUACUUUUGUAUUCUUUUCAUGUGCCUUUUUUAUCUUCUCUUUAAAAAAUUUCUAAUUGAUGUCAUGUGACUCGUGUCCCUUCCCAAACUGGCACUUUUGUAAUGAAGUUACUAUGCAAGCUCAGUUGCAGCUCCAUUUGAUAUGCAAUGCAAGGAUAUCAUUGUAUUAAUUGUGAGAUUAUAAAUAUUAAAUUGUAUGUGGGU